AGGUGUAGAUCCAAAAGAAAAGGAAAUGGUACACUGUUUCUCCUACUUUGUACACUGAUCUCAUCUUAGAUCGGUAGAUUCUACACCUUCUGGUCUAUUAUUAAAGCCUGCCUUGUAUCAAAUUUCAUUCUGGCUCACAUUAUUUUAUCCUUCUCUCAUCACACCAAGCUGUUUAGGAUCGGCAUUCGUGUAUCCACAUGUUUAUUGACCAUUUAGUUUGAACUGUCAUGAAGAAUGACCGUAGCUAAAUAUGUGACGUGUUGUUUAAAAGAUAAUGUGAAAGCUUACAUGUCAAGCCACUCAUAGCUGGCUCCAUGGAGACUGGACAGGCAUAAAAUGCCAUGUGAGCUAUCCCAUCAGUUUGUAGGCUAACUUUCUAGAAGUCUAGAAGUUUCGGUACAUUCAGUGUUUCUCCUAUCAUACAUAAUAUUGGGCCUUAUAGAAUAGCUGCCCUAUGGUUAGGUCAUUUUCAAUCUCUUAUGUAAUUCGAGCGCGCAAAUGACUUAUCUUACAUUCUUGAUGUGGCAGGCUUUAGAUGCACCUUGGCCAAUAAUUCAGGCAAAUGCUAUAUACUUCUCCAGCUGUAUGCUAUCUCUGUCUGAUGAUCAGCACAUUUUGACUCUCUAUUAUCCACAGGUAUUUGGACCAUUAGUAGGAAAAUUGAGCAAGUCAGCAGAUGCAAGCGUGAGAGCAACGUGCUCUUCUGCCCUUGGUUUGCUGUUAAAAUCCUCAAAGUCAAUAUCAUGGAAAGCAGCUCGAGCGGAUCACUUGGAGUAACUUGAAAUGGUUGUCUUCAUCCGUAUACCUGAAAACAAGUCCCAGUCAGAUUCUCAUUGGCCUCAAAUUCAUGGGUUCGUAAAGCAAUGUAUGUUGGAAGUGGAAAUCAUGAUAUUCGUUUCGCAAGAUGCAAAAUGAAGCACUUUAAUUAGGUAAAUUUUGAGGUGCAUAUAGGGGCUAUCAGUGCCUGUAAUGACUGGGUGUGUAUAUUUGUCAAUUGUUGUAAAUUAUGUCAUUUGUAACUUUGUCAUCCCACGGUGUGCCUUGGGUCAUUUGUGUAUUCUGUUGUAGAUGUAACAACUUCGUUGUAAUGAUUUGUAUCAUAACCUUUUGCCAAUUUACCCAGAAAAACGUGAGAUGUUGUAAAUUCGCAAAUGAAUAACAUCUGAUCAUAAGAUACAAUAAAUCUUUCAGCUUGCUUGGUUAAUCAUACCAUCAAUCUCUUCUCCAAACAAUC